AGAGUUUGAUCCUGGCUCAGAACGUACGCUGGCGGCACGCCUAACACAUGCAAGUCGAACGAAGUAGCAAUACUUAGUGGCAGACGGGUGAGUAACAUGUAGGUAUCUGCCCUUUGGCCUGGAAUAACACGAGGAAACUUGUGCUAAUACCGGAUAAGUCUUUACGGAGAAAGCUUUAUGCACCAUUGGAUGAGCCUGCACUUGAUUAGUUUGUUGGUGGGGUAAUGGCCUACCAAGACUGUGAUCAAUAGCUGAUUUGAGAGGAUGAUCAGCCACAUUGGGACUGAGACACGGCCCAAACUCCUACGGGAGGCAGCAGUGGGGAAUCUUGCACAAUGGAGGAAACUCUGAUGCAGCGAUGCCGCGUGAGUGAAGAAGGCCCUUGGGUUGUAAAGCUCUUUCGUCGGGGAAGAAAAUGACUGUACCCGAAUAAGAAGGUCCGGCUAACUUCGUGCCAGCAGCCGCGGUAAUACGAAGGGACCUAGCGUAGUUCGGAAUUACUGGGCUUAAAGAGUUCGUAGGUGGUUGAAAAAGUUGGUGGUGAAAUCCCAGAGCUUAACUCUGGAACUGCCAUCAAAACUUUUCAGCUAGAGUAUGAUAGAGGAAAGCAGAAUUUCUAGUGUAGAGGUGAAAUUCGUAGAUAUUAGAAAGAAUACCAAUUGCGAAGGCAGCUUUCUGGAUCAUUACUGACACUGAGGAACGAAAGCAUGGGUAGCGAAGAGGAUUAGAUACCCUCGUAGUCCAUGCCGUAAACGAUGUGUGUUAGACGUUGGAAAUUUAUUUUCAGUGUCGCAGCGAAAGCGAUAAACACACCGCCUGGGGAGUACGACCGCAAGGUUAAAACUCAAAUGAAUUGACGGGGACCCGCACAAGUAGUGGAGCAUGUGGUUUAAUUCGAAGAUACGCGCAGAACCUUACCAACACUUGACAUGUUCGUCGCGACUCUAAGAGAUUAGAGUUUUCGGUUCGGCCGGACGAAACACAGGUGCUGCAUGGCUGUCGUCAGCUCGUGUCGUGAGAUGUUGGGUUAAGUCCCGCAACGAGCGCAACCCUCACUUUUAGUUGCCAUCAUUAAGUUGGGCACUCUGAAAGAACUGCCAGUGAUAAGCUGGAGGAAGGUGGGGAUGACGUCAAGUCCUCAUGGCCCUAACGUGUUGGGCUACACACGUGCUACAAUGGUAUCUACAACAGGAAGCAAGACUGCGAGGUCAAGCAAAUCCCUAAAAGAUACCUCAGUUCGGAUUGCACUCUGCAACUCGAGUGCAUGAAGCUGGAAUUACUAGUAAUCGUGGAUCAGCGUGCCACGGUGAAUGCGUUCCCGGGUCUUGUACACACCGCCCGUCACACCAUGGGAGUUGGUUCUACCUUAAGGCAAGGUUUCAAACCCUUGACCACGGUAUAGUCAGCGACUGGGGUGAAGUCGUAACAAGGUAACC
rnacentral:rRNA from 1 species